rnacentral:rRNA from 1 species
ACGGGUGAGUAACACGUAUCCAACCUGCCGUCUACUCUUGGCCAGCCUUCUGAAAGGAAGAUUAAUCCAGGAUGGCAUCAUGAGCUCACAUGUCCGCAUGAUUAAAGGUAUUUUCCGGUAGACGAUGGGGAUGCGUUCCAUUAGAUAGUAGGCGGGGUAACGGCCCACCUAGUCAACGAUGGAUAGGGGUUCUGAGAGGAAGGUCCCCCACAUUGGAACUGAGACACGGUCCAA